rnacentral:rRNA from 1 species
GACGAACGCUGGCGGCGUGCUUAACACAUGCAAGUCGAACGGAAAGGCCCUGCUUUUGUGGGGUGCUCGAGUGGCGAACGGGUGAGUAACACGUGAGUAACCUGCCCUUGACUUUGGGAUAACUUCAGGAAACUGGGGCUAAUACCGGAUAGGAGCUCCUGCUGCAUGGUGGGGGUUGGAAAGUUUCGGCGGUUGGGGAUGGACUCGCGGCUUAUCAGCUUGUUGGUGGGGUAGUGGCUUACCAAGGCUUUGACGGGUAGCCGGCCUGAGAGGGUGACCGGCCACGUUGGGACUGAGAUGCGGCCCAGACUCCUACGGGAGGCAGCAGUGGGGAAUAUUGCACAAUGGGCGGAAGCCUGAUGCAGCAACGCCGCGUGCGGGAUGACGGCCUUCGGGUUGUAAACCGCUUUCGCCUGUGACGAAGCGUGAGUGACGGUAAUGGGUAAAGAAGCACCGGCUAACUACGUG